AAGCUAAUUUGUAAUUAUCACAAAAACAAAAGAAAGAAAGUAAUUUGUAAUUUAGCAAAAAUAAUUGUGCCAAAAUAGAAGCUAAUUUUCUUUGUGCCCCGCAUUAUAGCUUCACAGAGUUCUUGCAUCAGGUGCAGGUGGGACGUCAGGGUCCUGUCUUUCUAUCUUUUAGUGAAUAAUUAUGUGAAAGCUUGGAGAAAGUUGUGGCCUAUGACAUUCUUCAACUGUUAGCAGAUGGGCUGAUGAUCUGAGAAGAGAUUGUGUUUGAUUAGUGAACUAUUGAUGAAACAACAGUGCUACUGCUUUUAGGCUAAACCACUAUCCCUAAUGUCCAAGGUUUUAUGGUAGAAUUUGACUGGAUUCCGAGAGCACACUCAUUCGCUGAUCCAUAUCCAUGAUCAGACCGUUAUAUAUUGUUGACAGGACUGAGAGAAUGCUCUUGAAUUGCAGUUCAAGCAGAUAAGGAGUCCUACAUCAGAAGGAGUCCUACAAUAUCAUUGAGCGGAAGAUUGUCACAUUCUAGGAUUUUUAAUGUUGGACAAUUUUUUUCGACUGGACGUAUGCUGCUAACAAUAUUCUGGACCAUGGUGUAGCAGAUUCUGAAAGAUUGUACAAUAAUUUGACUACUGCAAACGGAAUCAACUCUCUCUUACAUCUACAAUUUGACAUGCAGUGAUGCAGUGUGCGCAACAAUAGGAUUCUUGUCUGCAAGAACUCUCUUUGAUGGAGUUUUGGCACUGUCUGAUCGUGCAUGUUUGGAGGAAUGGAAUUAAAUAAGUGAAGAUGAAAGAAAACAAUGAAAGUUAAAGGCAAUUUUUGAAAGAAAAAAAAAGAGGCGAGUAAUAGUUCGAGGAACUUUAUAAUCAUCGUAACCGGGUAACUUUUAAUCUCAGCUGCAAUUUAUAAAUGAGACUAUAUAACUGCUUUUCUGUAAAUUGUUUAAGACGUGGUCUAUAGCUGCUUGUUAGACACGUGGCCCACUGUCCACAUAUAGACAUAUAGUGUAUCAUUUUCUACUGUGCUGUGUAUUUAAAAUAUA